AGCAGCCGCGGUAAUUCCAGCUCCAAUAGCGUAUAUUAAAGUUGUUGCAGUUAAAAAGCUCGUAGUUGAAUUUCGGGGUUAGUAGGUUGGUCGUGCCACUGGUAUGUACUGGCUUUACUGAUCCCUCCUUCUUGUAGAACCGUAAUGCCAUUAACUUGGUGUUGCGGGGAAACAGGACUGUUACUUUGAAAAAAUUAGAGUGUUUAAAGCAGGCUAACGCUUGAAUACAUUAGCAUGGAAUAAUGAAAUAGGACGCUCGAUCCUAUUUUGUUGGUCUCUAGGAUUGACGUAAUGAUUAAUAGGGAUAGUUGGGGGCAUUAGUAUUCAAUUGUCAGAGGUGAAAUUCUUGGAUUUAUUGAAGACUAACUACUGCGAAAGCAUUUGCCAAGGAUGUUUUCAUUAAUCAAGAACGAAAGUUAGGGAUCGAAGACGAUCAGAUACCGUCGUAGUCUUAACCAUAAACCUAUGCCGACUAGGGAUCGGAUGAUGUUAUUUUUAAUGACUCAUUCGGCNCCUUACG
rnacentral:rRNA from 1 species